GAAGAGUAGUGCUGCUGAGGAAGCCUGUGCUGCUGUGGCUUCAGCUGUGGGUUCAAACCCCUUACUCAUGACUAAGCUGGAUCUGAGUAAGCGCAUACCAGGAGCCUUGGGAGUGACUCAGCUGUGUGCUUUACUGCAGGAUCCCCACUGCACACUGCAGACAUUACGACUGUCAUGGUGCAGUAUUGGAGAGGAAGGCUUCAGAGCUCUUGCAUCAGCACUGAGAUCAAACCCCUCACACAUGAGAGAGCUGUGGCUAGGUGGGAAUAAAGCAGGAGACUCAGGAGUAAAGCAUCUUUCUUCUCUUCUGGAGGACCCCAACUGUAAACUGGAGAAACUAGACGUGAUGUACUGCAGUAUAAGAGAUGAAGAUUCCAGAGCUUUAGCAUCAGCACUGAGAUCAAACCCAUCAGCCCUCAGAGAGCUCUAUCUGGAGGGGAAUCAGCUUGGACCCUCAGCAUGGCAGCUGUUCUCUGAGCUUGAGGAACAUCCAAACUGUGAACAUAUAAAAAUCUAUUAUGGACCCUAAUCAGUAGUCGAGUUGAGGGGGGAUGAGGGGGGAUGGCAUCCCCCUUUGGAAUUGAUAUGGUCAAAAUCAUCCCCCCUCUGAAACGGCCAUCCCCCUCCCCAUCCCCUGUAAUUUUUCAAUGAAUGUGGAAAUAUCACAACUAUUUCAUUUUCAACAUUUAGCUUUUGCACACAUCGAGGCUAAAAUGUGGACGAGGGGCAUGCUCCUUCUAUUGUCACAGCAAUCAGCAGCAUCAUGGCCAAGCGACAAGCAAAGUUUGAUCUAAGGGACGUCGGCUAAGAGGACAAAAUGUUGAUGAAUUAGAAAGAGUACACUUAUACUCAAACCUGAAACACUCAGUCUCCCUUGUUUGCUAAAGUGAAGGUACCUAGCCCGCUAUAGGUGUUCACUCCAGCAACAAACUUGCCAUAAUGUAAUUGGAAAGGAUAGGCUACCGUAGCGGCUCAUGGCGAGCUAACGCAAUGUUGUCCAACUUUUCAGGUCAUCUUAUUGAGAGUGAUGUAUGAAUGCAUCCUCACUCACAUGAAAGAAUAGUUUUGUAGUGUGUGGUUCUGCAAAUAGACAAUGUCACGAGGUGGCUGAAGAGACAAACGUCUGAGCAUCUGUUCAUCUUUAGAAUUAUUAUUCCGCUGUAAAGGGUAUAGCCUAGGCACAAAGAAUACACUUUUGUUUUGCAUUUGGUAGAACGUAAGACUGAGACUGAGCUACAAAGUAGCACCAACAUUGUUGUGUGGCAAUUAAAGUUUCUGUUCUAGGCUACUGUAUGGUGGUAGAAUUCCAGAGUGAAAGCAAAAAGUCUCAACUUUUUUUUUGGUUCCAUUUAACUUGGCUAGAUUGGUAAUUAUAACAAGUCAUCGUUGAAUGCAUUAAAAUUGAUGUCUGGUUCACUAAUUCAGAUCUGAUAGAUAUUUAGUGUAUUUAAGUGAUAAUGUUACUCUGAACUGGGAUCAAUUUUAGCAACUCGACGUAGACAUGAUCUAAAAUGUUAGUGACACAUAAAAUGUACAUGAAUUGGAAGAAAUGUAGGAUUUGCCAAUGUCCAGCAGGUCACGCUAUAAAUGGACUAAAAUACAGGAAAUUGCAUCUUAAUUUUUUUUUUUUUUUUCUGUGGGAGGACCCCCAUACCCCCCCGCAAGACUAAUACCCAGAUGUGCAUUUUAAAAUCCACCAUCCCCCCUGCCAUUUUUUAACAACUUGACUACUGAUCCUAAUGAAUCCAUCCUGUUGUGUUCCACCUGAAUCAUGUUUUUACACUGUGCAUAAAUAAGUGUUGCAGCGCAUUCAUAUUUGAAGUAAUAUGUUUUAAAGUGAAUUGAUUUUGAUUUGAUUUGAUUUGAUUUUAAUGGGCCACACAGCCAGGCUGGUGGAAUUUGUUAUCAGUACUGCUCUUGGUACAUGGUUCCAACAUUGGGCUACAUUAACAUAGUAUAACAUACAAACACAUUCAUACAUGAUUCAUACAACAUAGAUACAUAAAUACAUAAGGGUCAUACUAAUCCAUAACAGUCCUCAGUGUUUGGAGUUGAGAAAGUUUAUUGCUACGGAAACGGAAUUGUUUUUGAAGCGGGUUGUUCUAGAGGUGAUUGUCCGGUAACGUCUCCCAUAGUCUUUGCUGGGCUUUUUUGUAGAUGUGGUCUGAGUUGAUUUUCCAUUUGAGGUUGUUGCUGAUGUGGGUCCCAAGGAGGUUGAAUGUGUCAGUGAUGGAGAUGGGUUCACCUUCAAUGAGCACAGGAGUUUUGGGGGAUAGCUGGUGUCUUAGGUCGACGAUGAGUUAUUUUGUUUUUGAUGUGUUGAGUAGGUGGUUGUGGUCUGUGCACCAGGUCAUGGCUUGGUUGAUCUGUGCACGGUAUUCAUUUUUUUGGUUUUUGGUGAUGAGUCCUAUGAUGGUUGUAUCGUCCGCAUAUUUGUACAGGUUGACAGAACUGUGCUGAUGGAUAGAGGGGAGGAUGUGAUGUUGUUGAUCUUCACCUUCUGUUGCCUGUUCCAGAGAAAACUGUAAAUCCAGUGACAGAUGCAUGGGUCGAUGUUCAUGUCCAGUAAUAUGUUGAGCAGUUUUUCCAGGUUUAUUGUAUUGAAUGCAGAGCUGAAGUCCAUGAACAGGAUGCGUGCAUAUGUGUUUGUGGACUCACGGUGGUUCAGUAUGUGGUGGAUUGCUAAGUUGACAGUGUCCUCAACUGACCUGUUGGCUCUGUAUGCAAAUUGGAGUGGGUCCAUGAGGGAUAAUUUGUUUUGGAGUUUUUUUCCAGAUAAAACGUGUAUCAUUGGUGGUUGUUCUUCAAGUUUGGAGGCAUAGUUGGAUUUGGCUUUUCUUAUUGCAGAUCUCACUUUGUAUACUCUUCCAUAUAUUGUUCCUUAUUUCCUGACAUAUGAGCUUGAUUUUUCUCUUUUCUUAACUGUUUAAUGUCCUUGUUGAACCACGGUUUGCUGUUAUUGUAGUGUUUCAUUUUUUUUGAGUGGUAUGCACAAGUCCAUGCAGUAAUUGAUGUAUGAUGAAAUUGCAUCAGUGACAUCAGCGACAUCAUGGAGAUCACCGGCAGCAUGGAAAACGUCCCGGUCUGUGCAUGCGAAACAACCUCAACGUUUUUCGAUGGCUUCGGGGUACCAGCACCUGGCGAGUUUUGUUGGUGACUUGGAAGAUUUAAGUUUUUGCCUGUAUUGUGGGAUUAGCAGCAGCAUUGCGUGGUCGGACGAACCCAACGGAACCUUCGGAAAGGCAUGGUAAGCCUCUUUGAUGGUGGUGUAGCAGUGGUCCAACGUGUUGGUCCCCCUGCUGGGGUUGGUUACCUGGUGAUGGUAGCCGGGGAGCUCAGAUGACAAAGAUACGUUGUAUCUACGAGCCCUUGGCCUAGAUACCAAGCCUGACGCGCGGAAAAAAAUUGCACUGCUUCUUACCGUUGCGGGACCACAGGCUGUGGAGGUAUGCAACGAGCUUGUAUUCGCCAGCGCGGAUGACAAAGAAAAGUUUGAUGAACACUGUUCACCAAAGAAAAACGAAACGUUUGUCGAACAGUACGUGUUUGUCGAACGGUACUUGUUUUGUUCACGCAUACAGUUACAGACAGAAAGGUUUGAUGUUUUUGUGACGGACUUGAAACUGAAAGCGAGGACAUGCAAUUUUGGAGAGCUUAAUGAUUGAUAUGCAAUUGCAAUUCAAUGCAAUUGAUACGUGAUCAAGUAGUGUAUGGGACUCAUAACAAAAAAGUGAGGGAGAGAUUACUACGAGAAGCUGAACUUACAGGGGCUAUGAAAAUUUGUCAAGCAAGUGAACUGGCUCAGCAGCAUGCAGAAACGUUCAGUGAGCACCACGAUGACAGUGCAGCAGCACCAGUGGCCGCAGUGAAUUAGUGAAAUCAUAAACAGAAAAGACCACAGACUAAGUAAGAAAAAGACACAGGGACAUUUGCGUGUAAAAGAUGAGGCAACCAGCAUGCGCCUAAACAAUGUCCGGCUUAUGGCAAAAUAUGUAAUAAAUGUAAAGGAAAAAAUCACUUUGCUAAGCAAUGCUUUUCCAGAGGGAAACAAAGUGGAGGUGAACGUGUCCAUACUCUGGAAGAAACUGAACUCUCAGAUUCAUUCCUUGUAGGCAUGGUGGCUUAGGCUGAAAUUAUGCAAAAAGAGAUGGAACAGUGCUCAAAUGUAAAUUCUGUGGAUCAGGACAAGUGGAUUGUGCCACUGCAGAUACAUGGUGCAGUCAUUCCUCUAAAGCUAAGGCCAAUUUAAUGAGUGAACGUGACAUCAGAGCCAUGAAGGUGAAACUUCCAUCCCAGUUCAGUGAAUCUCAAAGCCUACAAUGAAAAAAUCAACACAAAAGGCACAUGCAGAUUAAAAGUGAAGGGUAAAGAAAAGGAACAUAACCUGAUGUUUGUAGUUGUUCCAGAUGGACAUGACUCAUUACUAGGCGACACAGCAUGUGAGAAUUUAGGCUUAGUAAAGAGGGUUUACUGCAUCAACAAUGUCAAUGCAUGAACUGUGUAGAAUUGAUAGUGAAUCAGUAUCCAGACAUCUUCAAGGGGUUUGGUGUCUUACCAUUCACCUAUAAGAUACAACUGAAGGAGGAUGCACAGUCAUCCAUGCUCCCAGGAGAGUACCAGCGCCCCUGCGAGAAAAGCUGAAACAAGAGCUAGACAGAAUGACCUCACUGGGAGUGAUAAAGAAAGUUGAGAAGCCGACAGAAUGGGUGAAUUCGAUGGCAUUUCUCAAGAAACCAAAUGGAGACCUGCGUGUGUGCAUGGAUCCAGAAGGACCUGAAUGACAAUAUGAAAACAGAACAUUAUCAAAUACCACUUCAGAGAACUGCUGCAUGACAGGUGUGAGUUCAGGUGGACCUCUGAGCAUGAAACAGAAUGGUCCCGUUUGAAAACAACUCUCACUACAGAGACGGUGCUGACGUUUUGAUCAAGAUAUCAGCUGAUUCUUCAAAGAAUGGAAUUGGGGCCGUCCUUCUGCAGGCAUCUAGAGAAGACUGGAGACCAUGCUCCCAGGAGAGUACCAGCGCCCCUGCGAGAAAAGCUGAAACAAGAGCUAUGCCUCGGGAACUAGUGUAUGGAUUUCUAAAAUGCCAUGGUUAUGUCUAUGGCUUGCCAAAGUUUGUGGCAGAGACUGAUCACAAGCCUUUAAUAGCCAUCAUCAGGAAGAACCUCAGCGAGAUGUCACCACGCAUGCAGAGACUCAUGAUGAAGCUUCAACGCUAUGACUUUGAGUUGAUUUACACACCGGGGAAACACAUAGUGUCCAGAGCAACAACACAGAAUGAAGAACAGGGUGUGUGCUCUACCGAAAAUGAAGUUAAUGCACAUGUAAACUUGAUCACUGAGUCACUACCCAUGUCUGACAUGAAAUCCAAAAUGAUCACCGCUGGAUGCCACCUUAUAGAAAGUAAUCAAGCUUUUGAGUGACGAUUGGCCACGGGGUGAGUGUCAACCAUACUACACAUUGUACAACAUAAGAGGAGAGCUGAGUUUCAUUAAUGGCCUGAACAGAAUAGUCAUUCCUCAGUCUCUGAGAUCAGACAUGCUGAAUAGGCUGCAUGAGAGGAAAAAUGCUAAAUAAGGGCCAGGUAUCAAUGCUGACAUAGACAGGAUGGUUUCAAGUUGUGACACUUGUCUUAAACAUCAAGCAAAACAAGAGCCCAUGACUAUCACAGAUAUACCUGAUGAACCCUGGCAAAAAAGUUGGGACAGAUUUGUUCUACUUAGACGGAAAGAACUACCUGCUGGAAAUCGAUUAUCUAUCCAAUUAUCCAGAGAUGACAUUGCUUCUCAACAUGUCAGCGGCCUGUGAUCAAACAUAUGAAGUCAAUAUUUGUGAGGCAUGGGAUUCCCCAGAUUGUCUACAGUGACAAUGGUCCAUCCUAUAGCUGCAAAGGAGUUUGCUGAGGCAUAUGAUUUUCGACAUGUGACGUCUAGCCCCUUGUAUGCCCAGUCAAACGGAAAGGCAGAGAAAGGUGUACACAUAGUCAAACAGCUGCUUAGAAAAGUGCAAGAAAGUAAUUCAGAUCCGUAUCUAGCUCUGUUCAGUUAUCGAGCAUCGCCACUUGAGCAUGGCAUGUCUCCUGCAGAAAUUCUUAUGGGAUGUAGUCUACGUACCACAAUUCCCUACACGUCUGAACAGAAGCAGAACAAAGUGAAACAAAAACAGACUUCUACAAAAAAAAGACCUACUGUAUUUCGCCAAACACAGACGUCCGGUGAUAAUACUAAUCCCGUGCGAAUCUGCAUCUCAGUGAUUGCUAUUGCAAUUGCAUAUCUUUUCUACUUUGUGCGUUGUUUUCGGACGUUAGCAUACGACAUAUCCGGGUGUAAUGUCAGUGAAAAUAGAGUAAUUUACAGACUUUGCUUAUCCCGUGCGAAUGCGCUGCAAGUAACACAGAGGUGGGGCGAUAAUUUGAAAAUGACCAGAGGUCCACAGGUAAUACUAAUCCCGUGCGAAUAGGGCUUAUGACAAGUCUACAAAAAGCUUAGUUCCACUGGCUAGGCAUGAUACAGUGAGAAUCCAAGAUUCCAACACCUGGACCAAGAAGACAACUGUGCUUGAGGAAGUACGUCUAAGGUCCUACACUGUCAGAACAGAGGAUGGUCAAAUUCUGAGAAGGAACCGAAGGAGUCUGCUGAAAACAGAAGACACCUUCCAAGGACAGGAGGAUGAAACUUCAAAGGAAGAUCCAGCCUGCACUUCAUCAGCUGAACCAACACCUGAUGACGACCAAAGAACUGAAGAGACUGACUUACCUGUGUUGAGAAGAUCCACACGCAGUGUAAAAGCACCUGACAGGCUGAAUCUUUGAGGAUUAUGAGGCAAUCAUGUAUCCUUUAAAAGUCUGAGGUCAUGGACAUGGACAGUUGUUCAUUAAGUACUGAGAAUGUGAAAAAAAGAAAUUUUUCAUGUCGAAGUUGAACGAAAAAAAGAAGAAAUAUUGAUAGCCUAAUGUUGCUAGAGAUAUACUGUAGUUUGUUUAUGUGUAUGGCAGCUUACAUCCAAAGAAAAGGGGAUGUAAUAAUAAGUGAAUGUGUUAUGAGAUUUACCCCCACCACUAGAGGGCUGCUGUUGUGGUAUACUGUAGCUACCUGAUAACUACAAUGUGUUUGAUCAGAACAUCAGUAGAUGGAGAUAAUGAAGUCAUGCUGAACUUGGAUGCUGACCGAGUUUAUUAAAUAAAAUAUGUUUAGUUAAAGGGAUAUUCCGCCAUUUUUGGAAAUACGCUCAUUUUCCA